rnacentral:rRNA from 1 species
UACCAGCAGUUCAAGUUGCAUCCCUUUUUAUUGGGUCUAAAACAUCCGUAGCUUGCCGUUUAAGUCUCUUGUGAAAUCCUACGUCUCAAGCGUGGGGCUUGCAGGAGAUACUGAGCGGCUAGAGAUCGGUAGACGUAAAGAGUACGCCGGGGGUAACGGUUAAAUGUGUUAAUCCUCGGUGGACUAACGAUGAGCGAAGGCACUUUACGAGGACGAAUCUGACAGUGAGGGAUGAAGGCCAGGGGCGCAAAACGGAUUAGAUACCCCCGUA